AUCCCAUGACGAGGACAUUAUCUAAGCAACUCUUUAAAUCUCUCUCAAGCACCAAAUGAAGGUUCAUCAUUUCCUUGUCUAAAUGAUGUUAUCUCAUUCCUCAUCUU